rnacentral:rRNA from 1 species
GACGAACGCUGGCGGCGUGCUUAACACAUGCAAGUCGAACGGAAAGGCCCUGCUUUUGUGGGGUGCUCGAGUGGCGAACGGGUGAGUAACACGUGAGUAACCUGCCCUUGACUUUGGGAUAACUUCAGGAAACUGGGGCUAAUACCGGAUAGGAGCUCCUGCUGCAUGGUGGGGGUUGGAAAGUUUCGGCGGUUGGGGAUGGACUCGCGGCUUAUCAGCUUGUUGGUGGGGUAGUGGCUUACCAAGGCUUUGACGGGUAGCCGGCCUGAGAGGGUGACCGGCCCCAUUGGGACUGAGAUACGGCCCAGACUCCUACGGGAGGCAGCAGUGGGGAAUAUUGCACAAUGGGCGGAAGCCUGAUGCAGCAACGCCGCGUGCGGGAUGACGGCCUUCGGGUUGUAAACCGCAUUCGCCUGUGACGAAGCGUGAGUGACGGUAAUGGGUAAAGAAGCACCGGCUAACUACGUG